AACAUCUAAGUACCUGGAGGAAGAGAAAGAAAAAUCGAUUUCCUGAGUAGCGGCGAGCGAAACGGAAAGAGCCCAAACCAAGAAGCUUGCUUCUUGGGGUUGUAGGACACUCUAUACGGAGUUACAAAAGAAAGUUAUAAAUGAAGCGGUCUGGAAAGGCCCGCCAAAGACGGUAACAGCCCGGUAGUUGAAAUGGCUUUCCCUCCAGAGUGGAUCCUGAGUACGGCGGAACACGUGAAAUUCCGUCGGAAUCCGGGAGGACCAUCUCCCAAGGCUAAAUACUCCCUAGUGACCGAUAGUGAACCAGUACCGUGAGGGAAAGGUGAAAAGCACCCCGGAAGGGGAGUGAAACAGUUCCUGAAACCGUGUGCCUACAAGUAGUUAGAGCCCGUUAAUGGGUGAUAGCGUGCCUUUUGUAGAAUGAACCGGCGAGUUACGAUUUGUUGCAAGGUUAAGCGGAAAAAGCGGAGCCGUAGCGAAAGCGAGUCUGAAUAGGGCGCAUAAGUAACAGGUCGUAGACCCGAAACCAGGUGAUCUACCCAUGUCCAGGAUGAAGGUAAGGUAAUACUUACUGGAGGUCCGAACCCACGCACGUUGAAAAGUGCGGGGAUGAGGUGUGGGUAGCGGAGAAAUUCCAAUCGAACUUGGAGAUAGCUGGUUCUCUCCGAAAUAGCUUUAGGGCUAGCCUCGAGGUAAAGAGUCAUGGAGGUAGAGCACUGUUUGGACUAGGGGCCCUUCUCGGGUUACCGAAUUCAGAUAAACUCCGAAUGCCAUGUACUUAUACUCGGGAGUCAGACUGCGAGUGAUAAGAUCCGUAGUCGAAAGGGAAACAGCCCAGACCACCAGUUAAGGUCCCCAAAUAUAUGUUAAGUGGAAAAGGAUGUGGGGUUGCUUAGACAACCAGGAUGUUGGCUUAGAAGCAGCCACCAUUGAAAGAGUGCGUAAUAGCUCACUGGUCGAGUGACCCCGCGCCGAAAAUGUACCGGGGCUAAACAUAUUACCGAAACUGUGGAUGAACCUCUUCGGAGGUUCGUGGUAGGAGAGCGUUCUAAGGGCGGUGAAGUCAGACCGGAAGGACUGGUGGAGCGCUUAGAAGUGAGAAUGCCGGUAUGAGUAGCGAAAGAAGGGUGAGAAUCCCUUCCACCGAAUAUCUAAGGUUUCCUGAGGAAGGCUCGUCCGCUCAGGGUUAGUCGGGACCUAAGCCGAGGCCGAUAGGCGUAGGCGAUGGACAACAGGUAGAGAUUCCUGUACCAGUGCUAAUUGUUUAACCGAUGGGGUGACACAGAAGGAUAGGGAAUCGCACGAAUGGAAAUGUGCGUCCAAGCAGUGAGUGUGAGAAGUAGGCAAAUCCGCUUCUCGCGAAGCAUGAGCUGUGAUGGGGAAGGAAAUUAAGUACGGAAGUUCCUGAUUUCACGCUGUCAAGAAAAGCCUCUAGGAAGAGUAGUACUGCCCGUACCGCAAACCGACACAGGUAGAUGAGGAGAGAAUCCUAAGGUGAGCGAGAGAACUCUCGUUAAGGAACUCGGCAAAAUGACCCCGUAACUUCGGGAGAAGGGGUGCUCUAUUAGGGUGCAAGCCCGAGAGAGCCGCAGUGAAUAGGCCCAGGCGACUGUUUAGCAAAAACACAGGUCUCUGCAAAACCGUAAGGUGACGUAUAGGGGCUGACGCC
rnacentral:rRNA from 1 species